rnacentral:rRNA from 1 species
UUUGCUGACGAGUGGCGGACGGGUGAGUAAUGUCUGGGAAACUGCCUGAUGGAGGGGGAUAACUACUGGAAACGGUGGCUAAUACCGCAUAACGUCGCAAGACCAAAGAGGGGGACCUUCGGGCCUCUUGCCAUCAGAUGUGCCCAGAUGGGAUUAGCUUGUUGGUGAGGUAACGGCUCACCAAGGCGACGAUCCCUAGCUGGUCUGAGAGGAUGACCAGCCACACUGGAACUGAGACACGGUCCAGACUCCUACGGGAGGCAGCAGUGGGGAAUAUUGCACAAUGGGCGCAAGCCUGAUGCAGCCAUGCCGCGUGUAUGAAGAAGGCCUUCGGGUUGUAAAGUACUU